AGAGUUUGAUUACGGCUCAGGAUGAACGCUAGCGGCAGGCUUAACACAUGCAAGUCGAGGGGCAGCGGGUUGUAGCAAUACAAUGCCGGCGACCGGCGAAAGGGUGAGUAACGCGUGAGCAACAUGCCCGAUACUGGAGGAUAGUCGAUGGAAACGUCGCGUAAUACUCCGUAACAACAGGGACCGCAUGGUUUUUUGUUUAAUAGAUUUUAUCGGUAUCGGAUUGGCUCGCGUCCCAUUAGGCAGUUGGCGGGGUAACGGCCCACCAAACCGACGAUGGGUAGGGGUUCUGAGAGGAAGGUCCCCCACAUUGGAACUGAGACACGGUCCAGACUCCUACGGGAGGCAGCAGUGAGGAAUAUUGGUCAAUGGCCGAGAGGCUGAACCAGCCAUGCCGCGUGCCGGGGAGGACGGCCCUAUGGGUUGUAAACCGCUUUUGUUGGGGAGCAAUAAGGAGCACGUGUGCUUCGAUGAGAGUACCCAGCGAAUAAGCAUCGGCUAACUCCGUGCCAGCCGCCGC
rnacentral:rRNA from 1 species